GAUGAACGCUGGCGGCGUGCCUAAUACAUGCAAGUCGAGCGAACGGACGAGAAGCUUGCUUCUCUGAUGUUAGCGGCGGACGGGUGAGUAACACGUGGAUAACCUACCUAUAAGACUGGGAUAACUUCGGGAAACCGGAGCUAAUACCGGAUAAUAUUUUGAACCGCAUGGUUCAAAAGUGAAAGACGGUCCUGCUGUCACUUAUAGAUGGAUCCGCGCUGCAUUAGCUAGUUGGUAAGGUAACGGCUUACCAAGGCAACGAUGCAUAGCCGACCUGAGAGGGUGAUCGGCCACACUGGAACUGAGACACGGUCCAGACUCCUAAGGGAGGCAGCAGUAGGGAAUCUUCCGCAAUGGGCGAAAGCAUGACGGAGCAACGCCGCGUGAGUGAUGAAGGUCUUCGGAUCGUAAAACUCUGUUAUUAGGGAAGAACAUAUGUGUAAGUAACUGUGCACAUCUUGACGGUACCUAAUCAGAAAGCCACGGCUAACUACGUG
rnacentral:rRNA from 1 species